rnacentral:lncRNA from 1 species
AUGUUUGCUUUGUAGAAAAACUCACUGGAAUGCAUCAACUCUUGAUUAUAACACAUGAAAAGUAGAAAAUCUGUUCUGGGAUGUAAGCAGACUCCAGAGAUGAUCAGGUGAGGCAAAGCGAAACAGGCCAUGCCUGCUAACAGCUGCCCAACUUCAAGGAAAUAGAAAAUAGACGACAACAUGAUGUUGGCCAAAACUUUUCCAUCACUAAGGUAGCAAUAAUAUCCAAUCAGGCACAGCAUGUGGAAAAUACUACAGAGUAGGCAUACUGGCUACCAUUGAUCAGGGCGAUCGUAGUAUCAUCAGUGGUGUGCCAGAACAGACUGGUGA